GCACCUUCCAAAGGGGAGGGUCUAACUGAGCAAACAAAGUUGCACGCCACACCACAACCUGCCCCUCCCCUCCCUUUAGCCCCCAAGUCGAAUCCCCGGCGAAACUCACUUGCACUGCGGGUGCCCUCUGGCCCCCACCCCAUCAUCGCGCAACACACCCCCUUCAACAGGCGCGCCCACCCUUUCAUUGCCCUGCGCCCCGAGCGGUCCCACCGCCCGGCAAAACACUGAGCAAGCGGCUGCGCUCACCUUGCUUGACACACUUGAGCCGGAGGGGGUCCUUGCAGUGUUUGAUCACGGCCAGCACGUCCCUGAUGGUGAGCCCCGCCACGGGGGUCUCGUUCACCUCCAGCAGCAGCUCCUCCGACACCAACUUGCUGCCGCUCUCAUAGGCCACCUUGCCGGGCUUCACCUCCCCCAGGUAGGGGAACUGUCCAUUCUCGGCGCCCCCCUUCAGUUCAAAGCCCAGCUGGCCCUCCGGGUUCCUGCCAAUGACACUCUCAUGGACUUUGCUAGUCCAGUGGCUUUUCUUUUUCAAGCUUUUGGACAUGGCAGUGGGGCGAGUCGCCUCAGUUCCUGGGCUCCUUGGGGUUAGGGGGGCUGGUGGUGAGAGAAUGAGGAUGGAGGAGCAAGGGGGCCCAGGGGGAAGAACAGCAGACUUUGCCUUCGCCCCCCUCUAUUCGGUGCUUUCCCUCUUCUUUGGAUGGAGUGUGGACGAGGAAGGGGGAGGAUGAGAGGGACGGCUGGGCAGAGGUAGGAGAGCUUGGAUGAGGUUGUGCUGUCCCUUGAAUGACACUCAAGGCUGUGGCCCCGCAGCAGAGGAAGCAGUGGUGGUGGCGUCGGCGGCGGCGGCGGCGGCAGCCGGAGCGAGCAGUAGCCGAGCUGUAAUGUCUUACAAUAACAGAAUGCAGGAGAGCACAUAUCAAUGAAGAAAAGACAAAAUGUACUUAUCCAUGAAGCUGAGGUUAAGAAACCAGUGUCUUCAAGAGCCAAGGACAGCACUGGGUCUGUGCAGAGUUGAGAGAUGGUGAUGACAUGUGGUUUCCAGCAUUC
rnacentral:lncRNA from 1 species